GUGGGGAAUAUUGGGCAAGGGGGGCAACCCUGACCCAGCAACGCCGCGUGAAGGAAGAAGGCCUUCGGGUUGUAAACUUCUUUUACCAGGGAAAAAGAAAAUGAUGGUACCUGGAGAAAAAGCUACGGCUAACUACGUGCCAGCAGCCGCGGUAAUACGUAGGUGGCAAGCGUUGUCCGGAAUUACUGGGUGUAAAGGGCGUGUAGGCGGAGCUACAAGUCAGGGGUGAAAACUAUGGGCUUAACCCAUAGCCUGCCUUUGAAACUGUAGCCCUUGAGUGCUGGAGAGGCAAUCGGAAUUCCUAGUGUAGCGGUGAAAUGCGUAGAUAUUAGGAGGAACACCAGUGGCGAAGGCGGAUUGCUGGACAGUAACUGACGCUGAGGCGCGAAAGCGUGGGGAGCAAACAGGAUUAGAAACCCCAGUAGUCC
rnacentral:rRNA from 1 species